GUGGGGAAUAUUGCGCAAUGGGGGAAACCCUGACGCAGCAACGCCGCGUGAAGGAAGAAGGCCUUCGGGUUGUAAACUUCUUUAGUCGGGGACGAAUGGAUGACGGUACCCGAAGAAUAAGCCACGGCUAACUACGUGCCAGCAGCCGCGGUAAUACGUAGGUGGCAAGCGUUGUCCGGAAUUACUGGGUGUAAAGGGCGUGUAGGCGGGAUGUCAAGUCAGAUGUGAAAUUCCAGGGCUCAACCCUGGCGCUGCAUCUGAAACUGAUGUUCUUGAGUACUGGAGAGGGAAGCGGAAUUCCUAGUGUAGCGGUGAAAUGCGUAGAUAUUAGGAGGAACACCAGUGGCGAAGGCGGCUUUCUGGACAGUAACUGACGCUGAGGCGCGAAAGCGUGGGGAGCGAACAGG
rnacentral:rRNA from 1 species